UGACCCAUCAGCCAAUGGGGGAAAACUCUAGUCGCAGGCUCAGCCAUCCCAUCUGCCACUGUUGGCCAGGCUGGGCGUUUGCCCCUGCGCACGCUCUGCCAACCAAUCAUAGGUCCCCAAAAGUUGAGAAGCUCUGGAUUGGAGUGCAUCUGAUAGAAGUUGUCACAAAAAAAUAACCUUCAUCAAGAGUCAUCACUGAAGUGCAGUCCAGCAACGAUUACAU